rnacentral:rRNA from 1 species
GCAGUCGAGCGAACGGACGAGAAGCUUGCUUCUCUGAUGUUAGCGGCGGAGGGGGAGUAACACGUGGAUAACCUACCUAUAAGACUGGGAUAACUUCGGGAAACCGGAGCUAAUACCGGAUAAUAUUUUGAACCGCAUGGUUCAAAAGUGAAAGACGGUCUUGCUGUCACUUAUAGAUGGAUCCGCGCUGCAUUAGCUAGUUGGUAAGGUAACGGCUUACCAAGGCAACGAUGCAUAGCCGACCUGAGAGGGUGAUCGGCCACACUGGAACUGAGACACGGUCCAGACUCCUACGGGAGGCAGCAGUAGGGAAUCUUCCGCAAUGGGCGAAAGCCUGACGGAGCAACGCCGCGUGAGUGAUGAAGGUCUUCGGAUCGUAAAACUCUGUUAUUAGGGAAGAACAUAUGUGUAAGUAACUGUGCACAUCUUGACGGUACCUAAUCAGAAAGCCACGGCUAACUACGUGCCAGCAGCCGCGGUAAUACGUAGGUGGCAAGCGUUAUCCGGAAUUAUUGGGCGUAAAGCGCGCGUAGGCGGUUUUUUAAGUCUGAUGUGAAAGCCCACGGCUCAACCGUGGAGGGUCAUUGGAAACUGGAAAACUUGAGUGCAGAAGAGGAAAGUGGAAUUCCAUGUGUAGCGGUGAAAUGCGCAGAGAUAUGGAGGAACACCAGUGGCGAAAGGCGACUUUCUGGUCUGUAACUGACGCUGAUGUGCGAAAGCGUGGGGAUCAAACAGGAUUAGAUACCCUGGGUAGUCCACGCCGUAAACGAUGAGUGCUAAGUGUUAGGGGGUUUCCGCCCCCUUUAGUGCUGCAGCUAACGCAUAAGCACU